rnacentral:lncRNA from 1 species
GGGGAACACAGGCGACCUGAACCCUGGAGCCAUCUGGUCAACCUGCGGAAGCUAUCCGUGGUUGACUGUUUACCAAACAGACUUCCCUGAGUGGCAGCCCAGGGGCUGGGGCUGGGCUUGGGUUAAUCAUUAGGCAUUGAACAAACAGCUGGGGCCUUGCUAUCACCACUGUCAGGAGCAACGUUUCUACCUGCCACUCUCUGGUCUCUGGCCCAGCCCCAGCAGCAGAGCGGAACUCAGCCGUUGGUUGACCGCUGGGAUUUCCAGCCGCGUGGGUUGCCACGCCCGAGCUGUGGCAGGCAUGCCUUUCAGCAGGAGCUCUGUCUCUACGCACUGCAUGCUGGAGUUGCGUCCACCCUAUGCGAACCGAGCCCAUGACGGCCAGGGCAUAGUCCCGCUCCCGCCUUCCUUGCCAGCAGGAAUCAUCCUCGCCGUGUGUUGGCUGCCGGGCUAGGAGCUGGUAAUGCAGCUGCGACCACUGCAGACGGAACUCCAGGCCUUGGCUGUGCCCCCUCCAGCGAGGCACAAACACCCCGCCAGGGACGGGCCACAGAGUGCGUCAGCCACUCUCCGUGCCGGGGGCGAGGAGAAGGGAGUGUGACACGCUAGCCAGGGCGUGGAGGAGAGGGUGGCUGUUGUAGCCUUGGACGAGGACAUCGAGGACGGAGCACACGUCUGGGGGCCUGAGGAGUGGGCACUGGUGCGGGUUCAGCUCCUCCACCUGUGUGAAACAGGAAGUGGCUCUGCGACUCCGUUUCCUUCCCCGCGCCGUGAGCACGCAGAGGAAGAUUCACAUCUCUGAUGGUUUCAUGCAGCAAAUUUUUCUUUUCCGAUUCCCACAAGCUGGUGACAUCGAUAGCACAAAGGCGACCGUGACAGAGGAAGCCUCGUUCUCAUUGGCUGCAUAUCCUUGUGGGGAAGACGGCAAGAAACAGAGGAACAGGUGAGCGGUGUCGUCCCUGUGGGACCCAGGACCUCUGGGUGACUCCUGCUGGGUGAGUGCUGCACCAACCCACCUGCUUACGAGGUCGCCUGCAGGCAAGCACUGCCCCGUCAGGCCUCACCACAGGACAAAGAAAACACUCAGCGGCUAACCAGUCCAACCCCGCCAUGCAGGAGACGAGGCUCAGCCUUGU